GCAGACUAGCAGCAACCCGUGGAAGCCAGGGAGAUGCAGCAGCCAGAGACUUGUGGAGAAGCCCCACAGACACAGCAAGAGCUGCUAAAGAGUCCCGACUGCUGCCAAGGGGUGACAAGCCUCAGCUACUAAGGAGUGGUAAUGCUAAGAGCUGGGAGAUACACCUCAGAGCCUGGAGCCACAAAGGGAGCUGACCCAUGGCAAUACAAUUCUGUGACGUACAUCCUGAUGGCAUCAUCAUCAUCACCAUCACCGUUACCAUGACAACAACAUCAUCACCCCCACCCACCAUCUUCACCAGCACCACCACCACCACCACCAGCAUCAGCACCACCAGCAUCAGCACCACCAGCAUGAGAAACAUCACUGCCACCAGCCCUAAGCUGUGGUGCCGAGUUUCAACACAGUUUUGUCUCCUUUCCAAGCCAUGUUGCAAGAAGAGGAAAUGGAGCCAGCACUGCACUUGGCAAGAGCAGGUCUCCCUAUGUAGCCCAAGCUGGCCUCAAGCUUGUGAUCCUCCUGCCUCAGCCUCCGAGUACCUGGGAUUACAGGUGUGCACCACCACGCCUGGCUUGGAAGAAACUCUUACUGAGCCUCCAUGUGGCACGCGAAGCUCUAAGCUGGAAACACGCAGCCAGGGGCUUAGCUGCUCCUGCUGCUGAGCUACUGAACUAGAGGCCGGGUCAGAUGCAGCCACCCCUGCUUUGCUGUCUUCAGGCCCCCACGGGUCCGUUCCUGACCUGGUUUUGGAUGGAAUAUGACUCAGCCCUCAGCAGGACGCCAACCAGAAGUGCUCCGUUCUCUGCAGGCACAAGACACAGGAAAGAGUCACUGCCUGUUGGGAAUGCUCUGAGUGUUUAGGAGAAGAGAACUGACUUCAGGGCCCAGAAUAAAUAUCCUCCUGAAGAGGACUGCAGGAACAGGAGAGCACUCCGGAGAUCUCUAUCUUGGGUUCUAACAAGGACCAAGUGGGAGAUGGCGGCAGUUGUUGGAGAUGGAAACUGUGUUUGCCCAAAGCUGUGUGCUGCGGAGGAGCGGUGGGUUGGAAGCUGCUGAGGACCAGGGCGGUGAAGCGAGGACCAGCCUGAGGGACUCGGGGAGGGAAGCUCGAGAGAAAGAGGAGAUUGCAGUGAGCUGAAGGUAAAGCCAAGGAGAUUACCGAAAGCCGGCAUGGGGGCUGCCUCGCCUCCCGCUGGGUCCAGGUCCCGGCAGCCUGUCCCGCCACCCUCCCCGGCCCUGCAGUGCCCUCCUCUCUCCCAGGCUGGAGGCCUGGUCCCUGCUCCCUCUCCACCCCUUGGACUCCACUUCCUCUUCCACACAGAGAUGUCCUCUGCUCCACCAGGCCUCUUCUGCGCCUUGGUCCCUCAGGCCGAUCCCCACACCCACUGACCCAGUGCCCACUGAGCUACCCCCUGGUCCCAGCCUCACUCCCUCCGGUCCCAGAGACCCCUGCCACAGCCACAGCCCAGGCUCUGGCUGCGAUGCAGCUUGUUCCUCCUCCUCAGUCUGCUGCAUGGCUGCGUGACACCAGCCUCCACCACUUUCUUCCUCUCUCAG
rnacentral:lncRNA from 1 species